rnacentral:rRNA from 1 species
ACCCCGGGAGGGGAGUGAAAUAGUACCUGAAACCUUGUGCUUACAAGCAGACAUAGCCCGUUAAAGGGUGGUGUCGUACUUUUUGUAGAACGGUCCGGCGAGUUAUAGUAACUGGCGAGCUUAAGGUAUUGAGUACCGGAGGCGAAGCGAAAGCGAGUGUUAAUAGCGCGUAUAGAGUCAGUUGCCAUAGACCCGAAACCAGGUGACCUAGCCAUGUCCAGGAUGAAGUGGAGGUAAAGCUCCAUGGAGGUCCGAACCCACGUUCGUUGCAAUGACCGGGGAUGAGGUGUGGCUAGCGGUGAAAUUCCAAACGAACUUGGAGAUAGCUGGUUCUCCCCGAAAUAGUUUUAGGACUAGCGUUGGGUAUGAGUUUAACGGCGGUAAAGCACUGAAUGGGCUAGGGGGCGAUAAGCUUACUGAACCCUAUCAAACUAAGAAUGCCGUAUAAAUGCUUACCAGCAGUCAGACUGCGAGUAAUAAAAUCCGUAGUCAAAAGGGAAACAGCCCAGAUCUACAGCUAAGGUCCCUAAUACAUGCUAAGUGGAAAACGAUGUGAGAUUGCGAAAACAACCAGGAUGUUGGCUUAGAGGCAGCCACUCGUUCAAAGAGUGCGUAAUAGCUCACUGGUCGAGUGAUCUUGCGCGGAAAAUUUAACGGGGCUAAGCAUGUAACCGAAGCUUAGGGUUUACGCUUUGCGUAAGCGGUAGGGGAGCGUCGAAUACGGGGUGAAGUCAUACCGAAAGGAAUGGUGGACUGUAUUCGAGUGAGAAUGCCGGAAUGAGUAGCGAGAAUUAUGUGGGAAUCAUAAUGGCCGAAAAUCUAAGGUUUCCUGGGGAAGGUUCGUCCGCCCAGGGUAAGCCGGGAGCUAAGGCGAGGCCGCAAGGCGUAGUCGAUGCACAUACGGUAGAAAUUCCGUAGCCGGCUCAAUCGUUAAGCAUACUGACACAUGAGAGUAGCUCUACCGGGCGUUGGUUGCCCCGGGCGUAAGCGAGCCGAAUGAGGCGAAGUGAGUAAAUCUUGUGGCGAGAAAAGGUGUGUGUAUUGGUUGGGCUGCCCGUACCGCAAACCGACACAGGUAGAUGAGGAGAAGAUCCUAAGGCCAUCGGGAGAAGGGUUGUUAAGGAACUAGGCAAAUUGACCCCGUAACUUCGGGAGAAGGGGUGCCUACGAGAGUAGGCCGCAGAGAAUCGGCCCAAGCAACUGUUUACCAAAAACACAGGUCUCUGCUAAAUCGAAAGAUGACGUAUAGGGGCUGACGCCUGCCCGGUGCUGGAAGGUUAAGAGGAGGACUUAGCGCAAGCGAAGGUCUGAAUUUAAGCCCCAGUAAACGGCGGCCGUAACUAUAACGGUCCUAAGGUAGCGAAAUUCCUUGUCAGGUAAGUUCUGACCCGCACGAAAGGCGUAAUGAUUUGGGCACUGUCUCAACAGCCCGCCCGGCGAAAUUGUAGUACCGGUGAAGAUGCCGGUUACCCGCAACUAGACGGAAAGACCCCAUGGAGCUUUACUGCAGCUUAAUACUGAGAUUCGGUAAAUCAUGUACAGGAUAGGUGGGAGACUGAGAAGCCAGGCCGUCAGGUUUGGUGGAGUCGCCCUUGGGAUACCACCCUUGGUUUGCUGGGUUUCUAACCUGCGGCCCUGAAUCGGGUCGGGGGACACUGUUAGGCGGGCAGUUUGACUGGGGCGGUCGCCUCCUAAAAUGUAACGGAGGCGCUCAAAGGUUGGCUCAGCAUGGAUGGAAACCAUGCAAUGAGUGUAAACGUAUAAGCCAGCCUGACUGCGAGACCGACGGGUCGAGCAGAGACGAAAGUCGGAGUUAGUGAUCCGGUGGUAUGUGAGUGGAAAUGCCAUCGCUCAACGGAUAAAAGUUACCCUGGGGAUAACAGGCUGAUCUCCCCCAAGAGUCCACAUCGACGGGGAGGUUUGGCACCUCGAUGUCGGCUCGUCGCAUCCUGGGGCUGAAGCAGGUCCCAAGGGUUUGGCUGUUCGCCAAUUAAAGCGGCACGCGAGCUGGGUUCAGAACGUCGUGAGACAGUUCGGUCCCUAUCUGUUGCGGGCGUAGGAGAUUUGAAGGGAGCUGACCUUAGUACGAGAGGACCGGGUUGGACGUACCUCUGGUGUACCAGUUGUUCUGCCAAGGGCAUGGCUGGGUAGCUACGUACGGACGAGAUAAACGCUGAAGGCAUCUAAGCGUGAAACUCUCCCUGAGAUAAGAUCUCCACUGAGGCUCGACGUAGACUAUGUCGUUGA